rnacentral:rRNA from 1 species
GCUUAGUCGUAAACCUAAAUAGUCCUAGAACAAGACUAUUCGCCAGAGUACUAUCGGCAACAGCCCAAAACUCAAAGGACUUGGCGGUGCUUCAUAUCCUUCUAGAGGAGCCUGUUCUGUAAACGAUAAACCACGAUUAACCUCACCAAUCCUUGCUACUUCAGUCUAUAUACCGCCAUCUUCAGCAAACCCUAAAAAAGGAAUGAAAGUAAGCACAACUAUUGCACGUAAAAACGUUAGGUCAAGGUGUAACCUAUGGAUUGGGAAGAAAUGGGCUACAUUUUCUAUAAUAAGAACAUCUCUUAAACCUACACGAAAGUUUUUAUGAAACCUAAAAACUAAAGGAGGAUUUAGUAGUAAAUUAAGAACAGAAUGCUUAAUUGAAUAAGGCCAUGAAGCACGC